UUCCAGAUUUUGUUUUAUUCAGAAGGUCACAGUCCUUGAGAGAUUUAUGUUUGGGAUUGAAGGAGAACAGGAAGGGGACUGUGUUGAAGGUGGAGAAAAAAGAGAGAAGGGGAGUGUACUAGUUCCCUAGGGUUACUGCAACAAAUUCUCAUAAACUUCUUAACUUUAAAAAACAGAAAUUCAUUCUCUUACAGUUCUGGAUACCAGAAGUCCAAAAUCAAGAAGUCAGCAGCAUUGGUUCCUUCUGGAGGCUUUGAGGGAGAAUCUGUUCCAGGUCUCUCUCCUAGAUUCUGGUGAUUGCUGGCAAUCCUUGGUGUUCCUUGGCUUGGAGACACAUCACUUCAUCCUUGGAUUCCAUCUUCAUGAGGACCCUGGGCUGCAUUAUCAGUUUGACCUCUGUCAGGGCUGGACACUGAGUCGCCAAGGUCAGUUGCAUGGAUGUUCCCAGCCUACGGUGACUGAUUCCCAGCAAAACCUUGGACACUCAGAUUGGUGGCUUUGGGACAUGGAAGACAGCAUCCUUGAUGACUUCUCUAAGAAGGCAGCAUCAGGAAUUGCAGCAUUGAGGCCCCCUUCAAACAGAUGUCAGGUGACCAAGUCAUACCAAGCUCUCCUGUAUUUUAAGAAGAACAAAUUGUUCUACGGAAAAUGAAGGGAGCCCAGAACGCUCAAGAGCUUGGAGACGGUGUAUGACAACUUUCACCUUGAGGUAACUGGUCUCAAUCAUAGGUGGUGGUGGUUAUUAGAAACUCAAUGAUAGUCUCUGACCUAUGCUUUUUCCAAAAGUGGGGUAAAAAGU